rnacentral:rRNA from 1 species
CCUACGGGAGGCAGCAGUGAGGAAUAUUGGUCAAUGGACGAGAGUCUGAACCAGCCAAGUAGCGUGAAGGAUGACUGCCCUAUGGGUUGUAAACUUCUUUUAUAUGGGAAUAAAAUGUUCCACGUGUGGGAUUUUGUAUGUACCAUAUGAAUAAGGAUCGGCUAACUCCGUGCCAGCAGCCGCGGUAAUACGGAGGAUCCGAGCGUUAUCCGGAUUUAUUGGGUUUAAAGGGAGCGUAGGUGGAUUGUUAAGUCAGGGGUGAAAGUUUGCGGAUCAACCGUAAAAUUGCAGUUGAAACUGGCAGUCUUGAGUACAGUAGAGGUGGGCGGAAUGCGUGGUGUAGCGGUGAAAUGCUUAGAUAUCACGAAGAACUCCGAUUGCGAAGGCAGUUCACUGGACUGCAACUGACACUGAGGCUCGAAAGUGUGGGUAUCAAACAGGAUUAGAUACCCCUGUAGUC